ensembl:rRNA 5S_rRNA 5S ribosomal RNA
AUCUACAGUUGUACCACCCUAAUAUCUUCUGAUCUCAGAAGCUAAGCAGGGUCAGGCAGGAUUAGUCUUUGGAUGGGGAAAAGCCAAGUAACAAAAGUCU